rnacentral:rRNA from 1 species
UACGUAGGGUGCAAGCGUUAAUCGGAAUUACUGGGCGUAAAGCGUGCGCAGGCGGUUGUGCAAGACAGAUGUGAAAUCCCCGGGCUCAACCCGGGAACUGCGUCCGAGACUGGCAGGCUUGAAUCCGGGAGAGGGAUGUGGAAUUCCAGGUGUAGCGGUGAAAUGCGUAGAUAUCUGGAGGAACAUCGGUGGCGAAGGCGGCAUCCUGGACCGGUAUUGACGCUGAGGCGCGAAAGCCAGGGGAGCAAACGGG